rnacentral:rRNA from 1 species
GAUGAACGCUAGCGGCAGGCUUAAUACAUGCAAGUCGAGGGGCAGCAUGAAGUAGCCAUACUUUGAUGGCGACCGGCAAACGGGUGCGGAACACGUACACAACCUUCCUUUAAGUGGGGAAUAGCCCAGAGAAAUUUGGAUUAAUACCCCGUAACACAACUAAGUGGCAUCACUUUGUUGUUAUAGUUUCGGCGCUUAAUGAUGGGUGUGCGUAUGAUUAGAUAGUUGGCGAGGUAACGGCUCACCAAGUCUACGAUCAUUAGCUGAUGUGAGAGCAUGAUCAGCCACACGGGCACUGAGACACGGGCCCGACUCCUACGGGAGGCAGCAGUAAGGAAUAUUGGUCAAUGGACGCAAGUCUGAACCAGCCAUGCCGCGUGAAGGAUUAAGGUCCUCUGGAUUGUAAACUUCUUUUAUAUGGGACGAAAAAAGGUCUUUCUAGACCCCUUGACGGUACCAUAUGAAUAAGCACCGGCUAACUCCGUG